rnacentral:lncRNA from 1 species
GCAGAGUAGGCACAGUGUUAUUUGGACCUACAUUGUUUUUCUUAGUAGACUUUAUUAAUCAAAAUAAUGGUUAUUUUUAAAUAUUUACUAUGAGAGAGAGAAUGAAUUACAAAAGCCACAGAAACUAACAAGAGAAUUAAUGCCAUGGAAACUACAAGAGAUAAUUAUAUGAUACCAUCAUUUGUUUUUCCACAUAAGUGUGCAGAUAUAAAGGGGAUUAUCUCCCAUACUGAGUACUUGGAAUCCUAUAUCAUAGAUCUUUUUCAGCUGCUGUUGCAGCCAUAGGAUGCAUGUCCUGUUCAAUCUCUACAUUGUCACUGAAAUGUCUGCCAAAUUUGUUUUUAGGAGACCAAACAGGUGGAAGUUACUGGGUGCAAGAUCCAGAUUGUAGGGUAGAUAUGCCAGCUCUUUCUAGCAAAGUCUUUUUCUCUCUUCUGUCAUCAGUUAGGCAUUGCAGUUUGACAAUAUUAUGAUGGAACAAGAUGUGCAGAACAGCAGGUUCAGACAUUUUCUGCAAAUUAGAGUUUGCCUAACACCUCACAGUAUGAAAUGGUAUUGACAUUGGCAUCCUUUGUUGGAAAUGAGCCAGCAGAAUCCCCUCUAUACCCCAAAAACAGUCAAUAUGACCUAAUUGACCAAAGGUGUCAUCUUGAACUUCUUGGCUACUAGCAAUUGUGGAUGUUUCCAAUGCAUGGAAGCUUGCUUGGAUUUAGGUUGGUUGUAAUGUAUGUGCAGUUUGUCACUGGUGGCAAUCCAGAUCAGCAUAUCUUAUUUUACUGCAGCAUAUUGAAGCAGAUUCUGCAAGACAUAACCCCCAUGCAUUCAGUUUUUGUUCCUUCGACAGUUGUUUUGGCAUCCAGCCUGCACACACUUUAUGGAACUUUAGACAGUUAGUCAAGAUGCUAUAGAUCAAACCAUGCAGCGGUGUACCCAGAAUCUUUGGUAUCUGGAACAGUAUUUUUUUAGUCCCCCUCCAAAAAAAGACCUGCUUUAACUUUCAACACACAUUUUAUUUUACACACAAUUUUUGAAAUAAUUUUUAAGAACUGAAAACU